GAAAUCAAAAAGAAAGUAGAUAGGGGAAAUUUAAAUGAAACUACAAAUGACAAAUUAAAAGUUUUUUUACCUGAAGGUAUAUUUCAGGUAAGUCGUGUCAAGGGAAUUACCUGAAGUUAUUUAAGGUAGCGUUCAUUUCGAGAGGUUGUAAUUUAAACUAGGUGCGUGUGACUCGAGAUCUGUGAACUAGCCAAGCAUUUAUUAUUUACUGUUUAGUAUGCAUGAUCACAUGCGAUUACAUUUAUGAUAUUUAUGUAUAAUUGUCUGGAAGGAUUUGACAAAUUAAUUAUUUGGGAUUAUCUCCCUUGUUGUUGUUUAUUUUAGAAAAUAGAUUACAUGUAUGUGUGCAAUUAAGGAUUAUAUAUGGAGCUGAAAUAUUGAAAUGAAACAGAUGAAAAUGGAAUAUUUGUGAUCUUCAAUAGGAUUAACUUUCUAGUGAAGUCGUAAGUACAUAUUAAGUAGAUUAUGCAUGUACAUGUAGUUAAUUAAUCUCUUGAUCGUAUAAGGAAUGAAUUAAACUAUAAUUGGAUUAGAAAGUUGAAAAUGUUGGCACAUAUAUGAUAUUAUAAAUGUAAAAAUAUUUGGACUGAGACAAUGAACAUUGGAAUGGGGAAGUAAAAUAGAUUCAAAUUCCGUUAGCCAAAAAAAACAUAUUGUGACAUAAUACUUGUAAAUCAUUAAGGUUUAUAACCUUCACUUUCUAUAAACAUUAUACAGAUUGUCAUGCUUUGCUGGUGACAGGCUUUUUUUAAAUGUCUCACAAUGAAAUAGGGACUUUGUUUCUUUGUAUAGAUACAAAGUUUUUGUUUAUAAAAAUAAGAAAUUCUCCCUAAACAACAUUACAGGCAGAAGGCCUUUAUUUAAUAGAGUAAAAUGCGAACAGAUAAAGAAUUGUGAUGCUGGUUUGAAAUGUGGGGUUUUGGUGAAUUUUUUUUUUGUCUGCCUAUAUUUUUUUUUUGAGGGGUGGGGCUUAAAAAUCUAAGCAUACUUUUAUGAAAUUUUAUAGAUUUGUUUGAAGGACUUGCAGUCUAAAAUGUUUGGAAACUAUCUUUCACAAAAAAAGAAAUGACUCAAAACGAGUGAAAAAUAUUG
rnacentral:lncRNA from 1 species